GGAGAUUUAGCUCAGUGGUACUGCAUCUGCCUCAAAAGCACAAGGUCCCGAGUUCAAUCCCCGGCACCCCCC
rnacentral:tRNA from 1 species